CAGCCGCGGUAAUACGUAGGGUGCGAGCGUUAAUCGGAUUUAUUGGGUUUAAAGGGUGCGUAGGCGGCCUAGUAAGUCAGAGGUGAAAGACGGUAGCUCAACUAUCGCAGUGCCUUUGAAACUGCCGGGCUUGAAUGUACUUGAGGUGGGCGGAAUGUGACAAGUAGCGGUGAAAUGCAUAGAUAUGUCACAGAACCCCGAUUGCGAAGGCAGCUCACUAAAGUAUGAUUGACGCUGAUGCACGAAAGCGUGGGGAUCAAAC
rnacentral:rRNA from 1 species